GGGGCUGUGGCUUAGUGGUACAGCAUCUGGUUGUGAUGCAGAUCCCAAAUUCAAUCCCUGGUAUCUCCA
rnacentral:tRNA from 1 species